UUUAGGUUGUGUUCACGGAGCUUAUGA
rnacentral:sRNA from 1 species